rnacentral:rRNA from 1 species
UAACACGUGGAUAACCUACCUAUAAGACUGGGAUAACUUCGGGAAACCAGAGCUAAUACCGGAUAAUAUUUUGAACCGCAUGGUUCAAAAGUGAAAGACGGUCUUGCUGUCACUUAUAGAUGGAUCCGCGCUGCAUUAGCUAGUUGGUAAGGUAACGGCUUACCAAGGCAACGAUGCAUAGCCGACCUGAGAGGGUGAUCGGCCACACUGGAACUGAGACACGGUCCAG